CAGCCGCCACGGUAAUACGAAGGGGGCUAGCGUUGUUCGGACUUACUGGGCGUAAAGGGCGCGUAGGCGGGCUGAUAAGUCAGGGGUGAAAUCCCAAGGCUCAACCUUGGAACUGCCUUUGAUACUGUUUGUCUUGAGUUCGAGAGAGGUAAGUGGAACUGCGAGUGUAGAGGUGAAAUUCGUAGAUAUUCGCAAGAACACCAGUGGCGAAGGCGGCUUACUGGCUCGAAACUGACGCUGAGGCGCGAAAGCGUGGGGAGCAAACAGGAUUAGAUACCCCAGUAGUCCCUGUCUCUUAUAC
rnacentral:rRNA from 1 species